ACGGGUGAGUAACACGUGAGCAACCUGCCCUGGACUCUGGGAUAAGCGCUGGAAACGGCGUCUAAUACUGGAUAUGAGACGUGAUCGCAUGGUCGUGUUUGGAAAGAUUUUUCGGUCUGGGAUGGGCUCGCGGCCUAUCAGCUUGUUGGUGAGGUAAUGGCUCAUCAAGGCGUCGACGGGUAGCCGGCCUGAGAGGGUGACCGGCCACACUGGGACUGAGACACGGCCCAGACUCCUACGGGAGGCAGCAGUGGGGAAUAUUGCACAAUGGGCGGAAGCCUGAUGCAGCAACGCCGCGUGAGGGAUGACGGCCUUCGGGUUGUAAACCUCUUUUAGCAGGGAAGAAGCGAAAGUGACGGUACCUGCAGAAAAAGCGCCGGCUAACUACGUGCCAGCAGCCGCGGUAAUACGUAGGGCGCAAGCGUUAUCCGGAAUUAUUGGGCGUAAAGAGCUCGUAGGCGGUUUGUCGCGUCUGCUGUGAAAUCCCGAGGCUCAACCUCGGGCCUGCAGUGGGUACGGGCAGACUAGAGUGCGGUAGGGGAGAUCGGAAUUCCUGGU
rnacentral:rRNA from 1 species